rnacentral:rRNA from 1 species
ACCAAGGUGAGGCCCUAUGGGUUUCGCCAUUGGAAUGAGAACAAUAUAAAUCUUUUAACGAGUAACAAGUGGAGGGCAAGUCUGGUGCCAGCAGCCGCGGUAAUUCCAGCUCCACAAGUGUAUUCCUAUAUUGUUGCGGUUAAAAAGCUCGUAGUUGGAUCUGAGUGCUUAGCGGGUGGUACAGUGUUUCACUGUCACUGCUUCGCGGCACAUAACCGUCGACUGGCUGCUGUUGUUGCCUUCACCGGUGACGGCAGUUAGCUAUCGACAUGUUUACUUUGAACAAAUCAGAGUGCUCAAAACAGGCGUUUCGCUUGUAUGUUUUUGCAUGGAAUAAUAGAAUAGGACCUUGGGUCUAUUUUGUUGGUUUUCGGAAUCAAGGUAAUGAUUAAGAGGGACAGACGGGGGCAUUCGUACUGCAACGGGAGAGGUGAAAUUCUUGGAUCGUUGCAAGACGAACUACUGCGAAAGCAUUUGCCAAGAAUGUUUUCAUUAAUCAAGAACGAAAGUAACGGGUUCGAAGGCGAUCAGAUACCGCCCUAGUCGUUACCGUAAACGAUUGUAACCGGGAGCUAGCAGGCGCUUUACUAUGGCUCUGCUAGAACCCACCCGGAAACAAAGAGUUUUCGAUAUCCGGGGGAAGUAUACUUGCAAAUGUGAAACUUAAAGGAAUUGACGGAAGGGCACCACCAGGGGUGGAGCCUGCGGCUUAAUUUGACCCAACACGGGGAAACUCAUCCGGUCCGGACACCGUAAGGAUUGACAGAUUGAGAGCUCUUUCUUGAUUUGGUGGGCAGUGGUGCAUGGCCGUUCUUAGUUGGUGGAGUGAUUUGUCUGGUUUAUUCCGAUAACGAACGAGACUCUAGCCUACUAACUAGUUAUGCGAUCUUCUUGUCGUAUUAACUUCUUAGAGGGACAAGCGGUGCUCAGCCGCAUGAAAAAGAGCAAUAACAGGUCUGUGAUGCCCUUCGAUGUUCGGAGCUGCACGCGCGCUACACUGUAGAAUGCAACGUGCUAGCUUGCCUCGCUCGCAAGAGUGGGGUAAUCGGUUGAAAUUUCUACGUGAUUGGGAUAGGGACUUGUAAUUAUUUCCCUUGAACGAGGAAUCCCUAGUAAGUGCAGGUCAUCAGCUUGUGCUGAUUACGUCCCUGCCCUUUGUACACACCGCCCGUCGCUGCCCGGAACUGAGCCAUUUCGAGAAAAAUGGGGACUGAUUGCUUGUGAGCACGCAAGUGCUUCUUGCAGUCGGAAACCAUCU